GCCUGGCUGGCUCAGUUGGAAGAGCAUGUGACUCAUGAUCUUAGGGUCAUGAGUUCGAGCCCUAUACUGGGUA
rnacentral:tRNA from 1 species